UUAUAUAAAAAUCGUAUAUGAUGGAUGUCUAGGUAACUAUAGACGAUGAAAGACGCUAAAAUGCGAUAAUCUUAUUAAGGUAUCUUAAUGGGGUAACCUACUAAUUUAAAAUUAGUAUUUAUUUUAAAAAAAAAAAAAAUAAAAAUAAAAGUAAACUGGGUGAACUGAAACAUCUAAGUAACCCAAGGAAAAAAAAUCAAUUUGAGAUUUUCAAAGUAGUGGCGAACGAAAUGGAAAAAGCCCAAAAAAUUAAAUAUAAAAAUUAAAUAAAAAAUUUUGAAUAAUUUACGAUAUAAAGUAAUAGUCUUGUUUUUUAAUUUUUAUAUUUAAUAGUAUGAGUAUGUUAGGACACGUGAAAUCCUUACAAAAAAAAGGGGGACCAUCCUCUAAGGCUAAAUACUAAUAGUUAACCGAUAGUGAACUAGUACCGUGAGGGAAAGAUGAAAUAGAACCUUUAAAUAGGAGUGAAACAGAACCUAAAAUUAUAUACGUAAAAGCAAUAGAAGUUGAAAAAUAACUAUAUACCUUUUGUAUAAUGGGUCAGCGACUUAUUUAUUUUAGCAAGCUUAACAUUAGGUAGGCGCAGAGAAAUCUAGUCUGAAAGGGCGAAAGUUAAAAUAAAUAGACCCGAAACCGAGCGAUCUAUCCAUGAACAGGUUGAAUGUAAAAUAAAAUUUACUGGAGGACCGAACCGGUAUCUGUUGCAAAAGAUUCGGAUGAUUCGUGGAUAGGGGUGAAAGGCUAAUCAAGCUCGGAGAUAGCUGGUUCUCUUCGAAAGCUAUUUAGGUAGCGCCUUAUAAAUAGUAAUUAUUGGUAAAGCACUGUAUUGAUUAAGUUGAUACUGAAUCAUAACAAACUAAGAAUAUUAAUUAUUUUAUUAUAGGAGACACACAAAGGGUGAUAACAUCCUUUGUGAAAAGGGAAACAACCCAGAUCUUAAAUUAAGGUCCCUAAAUUCUAUUUGAGUGGAAAAUGAUAUUAAUUUUCUUUGAAAAUCAAAAGGUGGGCUUAGAAGCAGCCAUCCUUUAAAGAAAGCGUAAUAGCUCAUUGAUUUAGAUAAUUAAUACGAAAAAUUUAACGGGGCUAAAAUAGAUACCGAAAUUAUGAACAUUAUUUUUUGUGGUAGAAGAGCGUUGUGUAAAUCAAAGAAGAAUUAUUUCAAAAUAAUUUAGAGAUAUCACAAGUGCGAAUGCUGACAUAAGUAACAAUAAAGAAUGUGAGAAUCAUUCUCGCCGAAAAUCUAAGGUUUUCUAUUCUACGAUGAUCGUAAUAGAGUUAGUCGUGACCUAAAGCAAGGUUGAAAAACGUAGCUGAUGGGAAAAAGAUUAAAAUUUCUUUACCAUUAAUUUAUACGAUGAAAUAUGUAAAAAGUUUUAUAAACCUAAAAUAGGUAAUUUAGGUUUAAUAUUAAAAAAUUUAUAACCAAGCAAAUCUAGUUAUAUAAUUUAAUAAUAUAAAUAAAAUUAAUAAAAUUAUGUUACCAAGAAAUGUUUCUAGUAUUAAUAUAUUAAUGCACGUACCGUAAUCCGACACAGGUAGAUAAGUAAAGUAUACUAAGGCGUUUGAGAUAAUCUAGGUGAAGGAACUAGGCAAAAUAGUAUCGUAACUUCUGGAGAAGAUACACUAGAAUAUUUAAAACUUUAGUUUUAAAGAACUAGUCUAAGAGGUAAGGUGGCUGCAACUGUUUAUUAAAAACACAGCACUCUGCUAACGUGUAAACGGAUGUAUAGGGUGUGACGCCUGCCCGGUGUUGGUAGGUUAAUUGAAAAUGUUAGUUUAAUAAAAAAAAAACAAAGCAUUUAAUAAAAGCCCCAAUAAACGGCGGCCGUAACUAUAACGGUCCUAAGGUAGCGAAAUUCCUUGUCGGGUAAGUUCCGACCUGCACGAAUGGCGUAAUGAUGGCCACGCUGUCUCCAUCUAGAACUCAGUGAAAUUGAAAUUGCUGUGAAGAUGCAGUGUAUCUACGGCUAGACGGAAAGACCCCGUGAACCUUUACUAUAACUUCACAUUGAACAUUAAAAAUUUUUGUGUAGGAUAACUGGGAGAUGUUGAUACAUAAUUACAAGAUUAUGGGUAGUCGACCUUGAAAUACCAGUCUUUAAUAUUUAAUAAUCUAAUAUAAAUUAUAAUCUAAUUUAUAAAAAUUGUGUGGUGGGUAGUUUGACUGGGGCGGUCUCCUCCUAAAAAGUAACGGAGGAGUACAAAGGUACUCUCAAUACGUUUGGUAACCGUAUGUUGAGUGUAAGAGCAUAAGAGUGCUUAACUGUAAGGUAGACAUACCGAACAGAUACGAAAGUAGGUUCUAGUGAUCCGAUAAUUCUAAAUGGAAUGGUUAUCGCUCAACGAAUAAAAGGUACUCCGGGGAUAACAGGCUAAUAUUGCCCAAGAGUCCAUAUCGACGGCAAUGUUUGGCACCUCGAUGUCGGCUCAUCACGUCCUGGGGCUGGAGUUGGUCCCAAGGGUAUGGCUGUUCGCCAUUUAAAGUGGUACGCGAGCUGGGUUUAGAACGUCGUGAGACAGUUCGGUCCCUAUCUACCGUGGAUGUAGAGAUUUUGAAAGAAUCUAUCUUUAGUACGAGAGGACCAAGAUGGUUAAACCACUGGUGUUCCGGUUGUUAUGCCAAUAGCAUAGUCGGUUAACUAAGUUUAAAAUGAUAAUUACUGAAAUAAUAUAAGUAAGAAGCAUAUCUUAAAAAUAAAUCUCCAAAAGGUAUGUUGCCUUUCUUAAGAUAACUUGAAUAUAACAAGUUUAAUAGACACAAUGUGUAAAAAUAGCAAUAUUUUAGCUAAUGUGUACUAAUUUUAUCGUGAGAAUUUUAUC
rnacentral:rRNA from 1 species